rnacentral:pre_miRNA from 1 species
ACGGGUAUUCUUGGGCAAAUAAUACGACUUACGGCUGUUAUUGCUUGAGAAUACACGUAA